rnacentral:rRNA from 1 species
UACGUAGGUCCCGAGCGUUGUCCGGAUUUAUUGGGCGUAAAGCGAGCGCAGGUGGUUUAUUAAGUCUGGUGUAAAAGGCAGUGGCUCAACCAUUGUAUGCAUUGGAAACUGGUAGACUUGAGUGCAGGAGAGGAGAGUAGAAUUCCAUGUGUAGCGGUGAGAUGCGUAGAUAUAUGGAGGAACACCGGUGGCGAAAGCGGCUCUCUGGCCUGUAACUGACACUGAGGCUCGAAAGCGUGGGGAGCAAACAGG